rnacentral:lncRNA from 1 species
UCUGAGACUACCUCCACGGAAGGUGGUUCUGUCCAUUUCUAUAGCCUCCUUGCCAAUCCCAGGGUUUUAUUUCCUAACAACUAGCAACAGCCAACAAAGGAAGCCACCUUGUCCUCUGCCUCAACAAGAUGCUGACUCCUGGAGAUUGAGAAGCCCCAGUCACCAUGGGCUGGCUAAACUGUGGCAAGGCCUGGUAUUCAGUAAUGAAGAAGCAGAGAGGAUUCUACCACCCGAGUCUGUGCUGCUCUGUUUCCGAUCCCGAUGUGGCAAUUAGUCCAUGAAGCACUGGCUAGGGAGGAAAGUUAAGACCAGAAUAGAAAUGUGGGAUCAGGCAGCUGUGCCACGGACUGGGGUGAUGCAAGGAGCCAUUAGACAAGGUCUGGCUUCUCCCGGAUUGGCCAUCUAUCUCCUAGUGAUGGGGUUCUUAUGGAUGGAUGCAAAAUGUCUACCACAGAACGAUUCAAUGAUGGACACAUGACAGGAACAGAAUAUGUUUGUUCUCAGCACCAAGGCACACAUCUUAUCAUCCAACGGAGUGGAAGUACCCAGGAUAAACAAAUUCACAGAAACAACAUUGAACAGUGGUUUCCAGGGGUCUGAGAAGGAAUGAGUCAUGAACAAGUUCUGUAUAUCUGUUGCCCAACAGUUGGAAUAUGUAGUAAAUAUGAUGGAACUGAAUAUUGAAACACUGGUGGUGGCAAAUGUUAUAUCGCAUAUAUUUUGUUAUAAUUCUAAAUAAUUUUAAGUGUGUGUGCUUCAAAGGCAGUUUCCAACCUCUUGUUG